GUGAGGAAUAUUGCGCAAUGGAGGCAACUCUGACGCAGCCAUGCCGCGUGCAGGAAGAAGGCGCUACGCGUUGUAAACUGCUUUUAACCGGGAAGAAACCCCAGGACGUGUCCUGGGUUGACGGUACCGGAGGAAUAAGCACCGGCUAACUUCGUGCCAGCAGCCGCGGUAAUACGAAGGGUGCAAGCGUUAUCCGGAUUCAUUGGGUUUAAAGGGUGCGUAGGCGGAGCGUUAAGUCAGUGGGGAAAUCCUGCAGCUUAACUGUAGACUUGCCAUUGAUACUGGCGCUCUUGAGUGCGCUUGAAGUGGGCGGAAUGUGCCGUGUAGCGGUGAAAUGCUUAGAUAUGGCACAGAACACCAAUUGCGAAGGCAGCUCACUAAGGCGAUACUGACGCUGAGGCACGAAAGCGUGGGGAUCGAACAGGAUUAGAAACCCGAGUAGUCC
rnacentral:rRNA from 1 species